UACAAGUAAAGGGGGAUUCUUCAGUUGCCUCUUAUCCAUUUUUAUAUACUUUAGCCGCCUCUACUUCCCCUAAAACAUUAACUCUUAGUCGUUCUUUCACUUUAAAGGGACGACUUUCGCAUAUGAGUUGUUCGAGUCCACAUCUCAUUCGUGAAGAAGAGAUAGAUCCGAGGCCGAAGCUCCGGAUUUACUGCCCCGCAAACAGUGCUACUGUAUUUUGCAUGAUGAAAAUCAUGGGGAGGUAGAGGAAGCUGUAUGGGGAGAAGUAGAGGAAGCUGUAUGGGGAGAUCUCAACAGUUAUACAGGCUCCUGUUGAACUUUCUUUUUGUUCUUUUUAAUUUAGUCUAUCGCCCCUGGUAAAAUUUCUAUUGCUGUAUGUUGAAUAAGUCCCAGUCGCUUGUACACACAUUUGUUUGAAUUUAUUUGUUGAUUUUAUUCAUCUUAACUUCUGAUCA